CUGCAGCCAUAUCUGCCGGGAUGUUUUGCUGCCGUGCUGCUGUCCCGUGUGAUCCAAUAGACCGAUGAUGUGUUAAGUCAGUUUCAAGUGCACACCCCAGCAUCACUGAUGGUAUGAGAGUAUCUGAAGUCGUAGAAGAUGAGAUGCAGGAGAGACAGAGGGACUAAACAGAAGAAUGGAGAAGGAGACGAGGAACGAAAGACAAAAAGAGGAACAAGUAGGACUCCUGCUUGUGGUUUUCUGGGCCUCGCAGUUGGAGAAUUGAAGGUCAUGGGAGAUAGCGGGGAGAUAAAUAUCGCUGGCAAUAAAAGGCCUGCAUCAUGAAUAAUAAAACAGCCGUAAUCUCGACCAAUGAUUUAUACAUCUACAGGCUCUG